CUUACACAUGCAGUCGAGCGGUAGCGCAGGAGAGCUUGCUCUCUGGGUGACGAGCGGCGGACGGGUGAGUAAUGUCUGGGAAACUGCCUGAUGGAGGGGGAUAACUACUGGAAACGGUAGCUAAUACCGCAUAACGUCGCAAGACUAAAGAGGGGGACCUUCGGGCCUCUUGCCAUCAGAUGUGCCCAGAUGGGAUUAGCUAGUAGGUGGGGUAAUGGCUCACCUAGGCGACGAUCCCUAGCUGGUCUGAGAGGAUGACCAGCCACACUGGAACUGAGACACGGUCCAGACUCCUACGGGAGGCAGCAGUGGGGAAUAUUGCACAAUGGGCGCAAGCCUGAUGCAGCCAUGCCGCGUGUGUGAAGAAGGCCUUCGGGUUGUAAAGCACUUUCAGCGAGGAGGAAGGUGGUGAGCUUAAUACGUUCAUCAAUUGACGUUACUCGCAGAAGAAGCACCGGCUAACUCCGUGCCAGCAGCCGCGGUAAUACGGAGGGUGCAAGCGUUAAUCGGAAUUACUGGGCGUAAAGCGCACGCAGGCGGUUUGUUAAGUCAGAUGUGAAAUCCCCGGGCUCAACCUGGGAACUGCAUUUGAAACUGGCAAGCUAGAGUCUCGUAGAGGGGGGUAGAAUUCCAGUGUAGCGGUGAAAUGCGUAGAGAUCUGGAGGAAUACCGGUGGCGAAGGCGGCCCCCUGGACGAAGACUGACGCUCAAGUGCGAAAGCGUGGGGGAGCAACAGGAUUAGAUACCCUGGUAGUCCA
rnacentral:rRNA from 1 species